rnacentral:rRNA from 1 species
UACGUAGGGUCCGGGCGUGUCCGGAAUUAUUGGGCGUAAAGAGCUCGUAGGCGGUGUGUCACGUCGGCCGUGAAAACCUGCAGCUUAACUGUGGGCUUGCGGUCGAUACGGGCAUCACUGGAGUUCGGCAGGGGAGACUGGAAUUCCUGGUGUAGCGGUGAAAUGCGCAGAUAUCAGGAGGAACACCGGUGGCGAAGGCGGGUCUCUGGGCCGAUACUGACGCUGAGGAGCGAAAGCGUGGGGAGCGAACAGG